ensembl:lincRNA
GGGGUGUGUGUGUGUGUGUGUGUGUGUGUGUGUGACUCAUGUGGUCGAUGCGGGCAGGGGUGAUGACUGUGGACGCCUGGCCCCUGCCACUACUGGGAGCCACAUCCUGGCGCAUGCGUCCCCUGUUGGUUCCUGUGCGCCACUGCGUCCUCCCGAACCCAGAUACCAAGCUUGGGCUGGACUAGCCAGUUUGCUCCGGGGACACAGCUGAGACAGUGCCCUGGGACAUCAGGACAACAGAGGCACUGCCACUCAGAAGACGCGCGCGGAAGGCAGAAGAACUGCUCAGAGUGUGGGCGACCACGCAGGGAGGAAGCCAGGAUCAGAGUGAUGGUAACCCAGGACCUGACCGCUGCAUAUUUCAUAUGCCCAAUGAGGACAUCUAAAAAAGCACAGGGUAACGUGACGUCCAAAGAAGAUGGCUAAUAAGUAGAUAAAUGGAGAGGAGACACAAACCUCCCAUGCAGAGUAACUGAGUAACUGAUGGAGAUACUCUGCCUUCGGGGGGUCCUAAGUCCCCACCCUAGGUGUGUACUGUGCCAGACAACUGUCUUCUUAAUUUUCCUGUAAAGCUAACACUCUUCUAAACAAAAAAGAUAAUUAAAGUUUUAAAGACCUAAAAAUAAUGAUUCACCAUGAAAAGAACAGAAACUGGACACGCAACUCUUAAAUCAAAGAGAAAAUUGAGAGCUGUUGUUCUGGCUCAUGUCUAGCUGUCCACCCAAGUCCUCAUGUGGUCCAGGUGGGGCUUUUCAAAGGUGGCUGGAUCUAGAGUGUGUGAUGCUGGGAUAAAAUAUGUGCUGCUGGGAUCAAGGAUGUGUGGUUACUAAAUCAGUCCACUGACGGGCUUGGCAUAGCUCUGGGGGUGAAUAAAGGGAAGGCCUAGCCUGGGUGUGAGUGUAAGAUCUAAGGGACAGAAAGUGGUCGCUGCUUGUCACUUGUCACCUGUGGCUUCACCACUUCACUGCUUUGCUGCUUGCUGCCUUCUGCUUCACUGCUCUCCGCCACCACGAACUGCUUCUCCUCUGUGAUGCCCCUCUGCCAUGCCACUCUGCCUUCCAGCCAGCCAGUUAUGGACUGAAAGCUCUACAAUCCGCGAGCUCAAAGAACCUUUCCUCCUCUAAUUUUGAGUGUCAGUUAUUUUGUUUCAACAAUGAGAAAAGUAACUAAGAAGGCCAGGCAUGCUGAUGCACACCUGUAAUUCCAGAACUCAGGAGGCUGAGGCAGGAGGAUCACUGUGAGUUCAAGGCCAGCUUGGGCAACAUAAACAGACCUUAUCUCAAAAAAAGAAAAAGAAAGGAAGGAAGGAAGAAGGAAAGAAAGAAGAGGAAAGAAAGAAAGAGGAAUUACUUCUGAAGAAAUAAGGAAAAGAUUUAAAACACAAUUAGAAAAAGCAGAACAAAAACACAAGCUGGCAGAAAUAAGCAUAAAUAUACUAAUAUAUUUAUAUUUAUACUAUACCUCCUCACAUAAUUUUAGAACAAAAUAACACCAUUAAACACCCAACGCAGGGGUGAAGGUGUGGGUGAGGGCUCAGGUCAAACUGCAUCUCUCCCACAACUGAGCAAGCAUGGGCUUUGCUCCUGGGGGCCCUAGCAGCAACAGCUGGGUGACCUUAAAGACGGGCCAUGCUGCCCUCUGGUGGUAGUUAUCUAUCAUUGCUUGCCUAGUUAGGUCAAGACCUGCAGCCACCAGGCCACCCUCAGGAGAACCCCAACCCUGCAGAACCUGGACAGAGGCACUCUGUCAUGAUAUAAGCCGCUGUCAUGGCUUAUAUCUAGAACCCCCCCCCAACCUCAUGUGCUCAUAGGCAGGCCUUUGGGAGGCGAUUCAGUCAUGAGCAUGACACUCACGUGGGAUUAGUUCACUGAUGACAUCACAGCUAAAUAUGCUGUCAGGAGGUGGGAUCAGGUCAGAGGAGACUGAGCACAAAGCGCAGGGCCAGGAAGUGCCCUUCUCCCUCCACUUCCACCCCUGACACUCUGCUUUGCCUCUGCCCUGCGCCUCCCAUGCUGCUCUGCCUUUGAGCCAGCUGACUGUGGACUGGAACCUCUACAGACUGAGUGAAAAUGUUGCUCCUUUAGUUUUGGGUGUUGGAUAUUGUGUCUCGGCAACAAGGAAAACAACUAAGAAACCUCGCUUAUGAACCAAACUUGUCCCCCUGCACAGCAUGAGGGAACAGCCUGUCUCCUGCAGGUGCAAGCACUGCUCCAAGUAAAGUUCCAGAGACACGUUGUGGGCAGAGGCGAAGAGUGAGGGCCUGGGCACCUGCCCCAGGUAGGCAGGUUGCAGGCCCCUGAGCAGGGCUGCCUGGGCCCCAUG